rnacentral:sRNA from 1 species
CCGCAAGUGCACAGUAGUAUCCAUCGCC